UCGUCCACCUGCUGCGGGCAGAUGAAGUGGAUGUGGCUGUCGAUGCCGCCGGCGGUGACGAUGUUUCCCUCGCAGCUGAUGAUCUCGGUGCCCGCGCCGAUGACGAUGUCCACGCCCGGUUGGGUGUCCGGGUUGCCGGCCUUGCCGAUGGCCACGAUGCGGCCGUCCUUAAGGCCGAUGUCGGCCUUGACGAUGCCCCAGUGGUCGACGAGGAGCGCGUUGGUGAGGACGGUGUCCACGGCACCUUCGGCUCGUGUUCUCUGUGAUUGCGCCAUCCCGUCGCGG
rnacentral:sRNA from 1 species